rnacentral:rRNA from 1 species
AGCUCCAAUAGCGUAUAUUAAAGUUGUUGCAGUUAAAAAGCUUGUAGUUGGAUUUCUGGUCGGAGGGAUCGGUCCAGCACACUGUGUUGGAACUGGAUCCUCUCCGGUCAUCCUUGGGUGGAUCUUGUCUGGCAUUAAGUUGUCAGUCAGGGGAUGCCCAUCGUUUACUGUGAAAAAAUUAGAGUCUUCAAAGGAGGCUUAUGCCAUUGAAUAUAUUAGCAUGGAAUAAUAAGAUAGGGCCCUGGUGCUAUUUUGUUGGUUUGCGUACCGAGGUAAUGAUUACUAGGGACAGUUGGGGGUAUUUGUAUUCAGUAUUCAGUGGUGAAAUACUUAGACCUACGGAAGACAAACUACUGCGGAAGUAUUUACCAAGGAUGUUUUCA